GAAGCUGACCAGACAGUCGCCGCUUCGUCGUCGUCCUCCUUCGGGGGGAGACGGGCGGAGGGGAGGAAAGUCCGGGCUCCAUAGGGCAAGGUGCCAGGUAACGCCUGGGGGGUGUCACAGCGUACUGAACCCGGGUAGGCUGCUUGAGCCAGUGAGCGAUUGCUGGCCUAGAUGAAUGACUGUCCACGACAGAACCCGGCUUAUCGGUCAGUUUCACCU
rnacentral:RNase_P_RNA from 1 species